rnacentral:rRNA from 1 species
UACGUAGGUGGCAAGCGUUGUCCGGAUUUACUGGGCGUAAAGCGAACGCAGGCGGACUGUUAAGUAGAAAGUGAAAGGUCGGAGCUCAACUCCAACAUUGCUUUCUAUACUGGCAGUCUUGAGUAGCGGAGAGGAAGGGGGAACGACACGUGUAGCGGUGAAAUGCGUUGAUAUGUGUCGGAACACCCAUGGCGAAAGCACCCUUCUGGACGCAAACUGACGCUCAGGUUCGAAAGCCAAGGUAGCGAACAGG